GACGAACGCUGGCGGCGGGCUUAAUACAUGCAAGUCGAACGGAAAGACCCUGCUGUUGUCUGGUGCUCGAGUGGCGAACGGGUGAGUAAGACAUGAGUAGCCUGCCGUUGACUUUGGGAUAACUUCAUGAAACUAGGUCUAAUACCGGAUAAGAGCUCCUGCGGCAGGAAGGGGGGUAGAAAGUUUCGGCGGUUGGGGAUGGACUCGCGGCUUAUCAUCGUUUUGGUGGGGUAGUGGCUUACCAAGGCAUUGACGGGUAGGCGGCCUGUGAGGGUGGCCGGCGCCAUUGGGACUGCGGGACGGCGCAGACUCCAAUGUGAGGCAGUAGUGGGGAAUCUUGCCCAGUGGGCCGACGUCUGAUGCAGAGACGCUGCGUGUGUGAUGACGGCUUUUGCGUUGUAAACCGCUUUCGGCUGUGACCCAGCUGGAGUGACGGUACUGGGUAAAGAAGCACCGGCUAACUACGUG
rnacentral:rRNA from 1 species